rnacentral:rRNA from 1 species
AUACGGAGGGGGCUAGCGUUGUUCGGAAUUACUGGGCGUAAAGGGCGUGUAGGCGGGAUGGCAAGUCGGAUGUGAAAGCCCUGGGCUCAACCCAGGAAGUGCAUUCGAUACUACUGUUCUUGAGUGUGGUAGAGGAGAGCGGAAUUCCCAGUGUAGCGGUGAAAUGCGUAGAUAUUGGGAAGAACAUCUGUGGCGAAGGCGGCUCUCUGGGCCACUACUGACGCUGAGGCGCGAAAGCUAGGGGAGCAAACAGGAUUAGAAACCCCAGUAGUCC